CCCUUAGAUGUUCUGGGCAGCACGCGCGCUACAAUGGUCUUCGCAAACGGAUGCAUUCUCGAAGGAGAAUGCCAAUCUUGGAAUCUAUGCCUUGGUCGGGACAGUUGCUUGCAAUUUUUCGACUCGAACCAGGAAUUCCUUGUAAUCGUGAUUCAUCACAUCACGAUGAAUACGUCCCUGCCCUUUGUACACACCGCCCGUCGCUCCUACCGAUUGAGUGCUCAGGUGAAUAAUUCGGACUGCAGCAAUGUUUGGAUCCCGAACGUUGCAGCGGAAAGUUUAGUGAACCUUAUCACUUAGAGGAAGGAGAAGUCGUAACA
rnacentral:rRNA from 1 species